GACGAACGCUGGCGGCGUGCCUAACACAUGCAAGUUGAGCGACGAACCAGGGCUUGCCCUGGGGCAAAGCAGCGAACGGGUGAGUAACACGUGGGUAACCUGCCCCGAUGACCGGGACAACCCGAGGAAACUCGAGCUAAUACCGGAUGUGGCCACUGGACUCAAGUCCGGUUGUCAAAGGAAGCUUCGGCCUCCGCAUUGGGAGGGGCCCGUGGCCCAUUAGCUAGUUGGUGAGGUAAGAGCUCACCAAGGCAACGAUGGGUAGCUGGUCUGAGAGGACGAUCAGCCACACUGGGACUGAGACACGGCCCAGACUCCUACGGGAGGCAGCAGUGGGGAAUCUUGCGCAAUGCGCGAAAGCGUGACGCAGCGACGCCGCGUGGGGGAUGACGACCUCGGUUGUAACCUCUUCUAGCUCCGACGAAGCGAAACGUGACGGUAGGAGC
rnacentral:rRNA from 1 species